AUGGUCUGGGGAGGACGUAAGCCCUCUUCUGUUCUUCCUGGGCGACCCAACCGGGUCGCCACUCCAGUCACCUCCGACAGUGUGCAUUACCAUGUAGCCAGUUAUUUCCCUGGGAUCUCUGCCAGUCCACAGGUAGAUCUCUUCUCUGUAAGCCAUCUCUUCAUUGUUGGUAAGCAGACUGAAGAUGGUAGUGUCAUCAGCAAAUUUAACAAUGAAGUUGGAGUUGUGACUGUCCACAUGGUUAGAGUUAUAAAAUCUGUUCAGUGCAUUACCCCUGCAGAAAUGUACACAAUGACUUCCUCAGCUCUAAUGAUCUGGAUGGCAGUGCUCCUUAUACGUGACUCAAGCUGUCAGAUUGUUCUGUCUCAGUCUCCAUCAGCCCAGUCUGUGACUUUAGGACAAAGUGUGUCCAUCAGCUGUAAUGCGGCCAACUACGUUGACAAUGAAGUGAACUGGUACCUUCAGAAACCCGGUCAGGCUCCACAGCUUCUAAUAUGGUGGGGUACUAACCGGCAGUCUGGGAUUCCAGAAAGGUUCAGUGGUCAAUACUCUGGGACCAGCUUCACCCUAACAAUCAGUUCCUUCCAGGCUGAAGAUGCAGGACAUUAUUACUGUCACCAGGACUAUAGCACUCCUUUCACACAGUGA